UACAUGGGGUGCAAACGUUGCUCGGAAUUAUUGGGCGUAAAGCGCACGUAGGCGGUUCGUUAAGUCGGAUGUGAAAGCCCUCGGCUCAACUGAGGAAGUGCACCCGAAACUGGCGAGCUUGAGUACGAAAGAGGAUCGCGGAAUUCCCGGUGUAGAGGUGAAAUUCGUAGAUAUCGGGAGGAACACCGGGUGGCGAAGGCGGCGAUCUGGGUCGAUACUGACGCUGAGGUGCGAAAGCGUGGGGAGCGAACAGG
rnacentral:rRNA from 1 species